rnacentral:rRNA from 1 species
UACGUAGGUGGCGAGCGUUGUCCGGAAUUACUGGGUGUAAAGGGCGUGUAGGCGGGAAGAUAAGUCAGAUGUGAAAUUCCAGGGCUCAACCCUGGCGCUGCAUCUGAAACUAUUUUUCUUGAGUGCUGGAGAGGAAAGCGGAAUUCCUAGUGUAGCGGUGAAAUGCGUAGAUAUUAGGAGGAACACCAGUGGCGAAGGCGGCUUUCUGGACAGUAACUGACGCUGAGGCGGCGAAAGCGUGGGGAGCAAACAGG